GAGAGAACCAGCAUAGGAUCGAACUAGGCCCUCUGAAUGUGGGUAACAGUAAUAUGGCUGAAGCAGAUUGUAGGGCCACUUGCAAUGAAACCAGAAUUUAUCCCUGCCACUUGUACUGUCUUUUUGAAACCCAUUCUCUUUGGAGGAAUACUUUGAUCAGCCUAGAUAUAGUGGGAAGCACAUUGGUCCUGCCUCAAAGCAAUGUGCUAGAAUUUGUUGACUCCCCAAAGCCUUCCCCUCUUGGAAGAGUCGAUGGGGGAUGGGAUGUGGGGGUAAGGUGGGGUGAUCCAGAGGAGAAGAGGUAGUAGGAACUGGGAUUGGUAUGCAAAAUGAGAAAAGAUAGGGUUUUUUUUUUUUUUAAAAAAAAAGAAACUUUGAGUAUCCAGGCAUGUUUUAGUGUUUAUAAAGGCUAAAAUUGAAAAAUAGCUCUCUUUUAAAAUGUUAAAUAAUAUUGCCAUCAUGUUUAUACAACUAAGUUGCUCAGGUAUCAGUAUGAAACAUUCCAUAUGAUAGCAUUAUUUUUGUAAGAUGUGAUCACUAAACAUAAAGGCUGUUAUUGGUGGGAGGAAGGAGUAACACAUUUUUGACUGUUCUAAUCAUUCCUGAGCUCUUUCUUCUGUCUGCUUAUUGUCAUCAAUGAGUGGAAGACACUGCUACGUGGCAUGCUACACCAAACAUAAAGCAAGUGGCACCAAACAACUGUGAAGGAAACUUCCUGAACCUGUUUUUUUUCCUUCCUUGUUUGCUGGAGAGAUCUAAGAAGAAUCUGGCUUUACAUUUGUGUACUGAUUUUUAUGGAAACAAAUGGCACCGAAUGUUACAAGUACUCAGUGAAGUUGUUCCAUGCAACUGAUGUGGGAUGCUCUAAACCCUGGCUGAAAUCUAGAUGUUUCUGAGUGAAAAUUAUGCCAUUCAUUUUCUCUGCUAUAUUUAAUAGUGUUUUACAGCAUUGUAUUUUUAAAAAAUCGUCAAAGGAAACUAAGAUAGAUUAGCUCAAUUUUUCAUUGUGCUAUUUCUUCUUCCUUGGUAUUGAACCCAGGUGUCAGUUUCUUACUCCAUUCAUGCAAAUUCAUUGUUUACAUAUGUGCACAUGAUGUCAAAUGUUUUCCUGAAAUCUAUUAUAAUAAACUGGAAAAUAAAUAACUCCAUUUAAGAACUA